rfam:Thaumarchaeota archaeon 13_1_40CM_3_38_6 13_1_40cm_3_scaffold_3031, whole genome shotgun sequence.
AUGUAUUGCUUGUUGUGGAGCAAUGAAAUGAAUGUGAGUAUCAAUUAUUCCAGGAGUACAUAUUGUAUGUUCUCCAGCGAUAACCUCUGUAUUUGCAGAUAUUAUCAUAUCUAUUCCAUCCAUAACAUUUGGAUUACCCGCUUUUCCUAUUCCAGCUAUUAACCCAUUUUUGAUACCGAUAUCUGCCUUGAUAAUACCAAGAACAGGGUCCAUGAUAAUCGCGUUUGUUAUUACUAGAUCAAGUGCAUCUCUACUAGUAACACCGUUUGCUUGACCCAUUCCAUCUCUAGCAC